GACGAACGCUGGCGGCGUGCUUAACACAUGCAAGUCGAACGGAAAGGCCUGCUUUCCCUUGUGGAUUGCGGGUACUCGAGUGGCGAACGGGUGAGUAACACGUGAGUGAUCUGCCCCCAACUUGGGUAUAAGCCUGGGAAACUGGGUCUAAUUCCCGAUCGGACUGCAGGGUGGUGCCUGUGGUGGAAAACGAUUUUCUAGUGGUUGGGGAUGAGCUGGCGGCCUAUCAGCUUGUUGGUGGGGUAAUGGCCUACCAAGGCGGCGACGGGUAGCCGGCCUGAGGAGGGGGACGGCCACAUUGGGACUGAGAGACGGCCCAGACUCCUACGGGAGGCAGCAGUGGGGAAUAGUGCACAAUGGGCGGAAGCCUGAUGCAGCGACGCCGCGUGGGGGAUGACGGCCUUCGGGUUGUAAACUCCUUUCGACCGCGAGGAAGCCACCUGGUUGGAAGGGUGGUGACGGUAGUGGUAGAAGAAGCACCGGCUAACUACGUG
rnacentral:rRNA from 1 species